rnacentral:pre_miRNA from 11 species
GACAAAGUUUUCAUAACUGAGGAAAUUUAAGUUGAAAGACCCCCAAAGUGGGGAGACCCUCACUCAAGUCUCAGGAUAAGCCGACGCCCCAAUAAUUCAAGAGAGACC